rfam:Hordeum vulgare subsp. vulgare, WGS project CAJW01000000 data, contig: morex_contig_481589
GCGGAUGUAGCCAAGUGGAUCAAGGCAGUGGAUUGUGAAUCCACCAUGCGCGGGUUCAAUU